GCUCCCUGGUGAUGUGGAGCUAGCGCUGACAGUGGAGGAGAGACGCCAGCACUAGCGAUUAGCAUGAGCUUCCAGGGGGCACCGCAACGGCUGCUGGAAAAUUCCAUCAGAGGCACGAAUCUGUCGCUUCGUCGUAAAGUGACAGCCCCCUGUGGCUCAGCACAGCACAGUAAGAAGAGUCCCAAGUGAGCCUCAGCAUCUGCCGGCUGGAGAAGGUGCGCUGUGAUGUUAUGAUCACCAGUGGAGAGGGAUAUACACAGGGGCUCGCCUGUCUGGAAAAAUAAGCUGAACCACCCACCACAAACGGACCAAGCAGCGGGGUAACAGGGAGCAGAGGUUGAUGGACUCAUGGACAUGGGAGGAGAUAUUGGACGG
ensembl:lncRNA